UACAGAGGUCCCAAGCGUUGUUCGGAUUUACUGGGCGUAAAGGGUGCGUAGGUGGCCGGUUAAGUCUGACGUGAAAUCUCCGAGCCUAACUCGGAAACUGCGUCGGAAACUAUCCGGCUCGAGGGUUGGAGGGGGGACUGGAAUACUUGGUGUAGCAGUGAAAUGCGUAGAUAUCAAGUGGAACACCAGUGGCGAAGGCGAGUCCCUGGACAACUCCUGACACUGAGGCACGAAAGCUAGGGGAGCAAACAGG
rnacentral:rRNA from 1 species